rnacentral:rRNA from 1 species
UAGGGAAUAUUAGUAAUGGGCGAAAGCCUGAACUAGCAACGCCGCGUGUGCGAAGAAGGCCUUCGGGUUGUAAAGCACUUUUAGAGAGGAUGAGGAAGGACGGUACUCUCAGAAUAAGUCUCGGCUAACUACGUGCCAGCAGCCGCGGUAACACGUAGGAGGCGAACGUUAUCCGGAUUUACUGGGCGUAAAGCGCGUGUAGGUGGUUUGGUAAGUAGGGCGUGAAAGCUCCCGGCUCAACUGGGAGAGGCCGUUCUAAACUGCCAAGCUAGAGGAUGGUAGAGGGAGGUGGAAUUCCGGGUGUAGCGGUGGAAUGCGCAGAUAUCCGGAGGAACACCAGUGGCGAAGGCGGCCUCCUGGGCCACUCCUGACACUCAGACGCGAAAGCUAGGGUAGCAA